GGGGGGGGGGGGGGGGGGGGGGGGGGGGGGGGGGGGGGGGGGGGGGGGGGGGAGGGCGGGCGGGGACGGGUGGCGAGGGGCGGGCGGGUGAGGGAGACGUCGGAAUCGACGUGUGCGUGGGGGGUAACGUAGGGAAACUGACGCUAAUACCGCAUACGACCUACGGGUGAAAGCCGGGGAUCUUCGGACCUUGCGCGAUUGAAUGAGCCGAUGUCGGAUUAGCUAGUUGGCGGGGUAAAGGCCCACCAAGGCGACGAUCCGUAGCUGGUCUGAGAGGAUGAUCAGCCACACUGGAACUGAGACACGGUCCAGACUCCUACGGGAGGCAGCAGUGGGGAAUAUUGGACAAUGGGCGCAAGCCUGAUCCAGCCAUACCGCGUGGGUGAAGAAGGCCUUCGGGUUGUAAAGCCCUUUUGUUGGGAAAGAAAAGCAGCAGGUUAAUACCCCGCUGUUCUGACGGUACCCAAAGAAUAAGCACCGGCUAACUUCGUG
rnacentral:rRNA from 1 species